GUAACACGUGUGCAACCAACCCCGUACCGGGAGAUAACCCGCGGAAACGUGGACUAACACCCCAUAACACCUUUCCCCCGCAUGAGGGCGAGGCUAAAACCCCGGUGGUACGGGACGGGCACGCGCGACAUUAGGUAGUUGGCGGGGUAACGGCCCACCAAGCCGACGAUGUCUAGGGGUUCUGAGAGGAAGGUCCCCCACACUGGAACUGAGACACGGUCCAGACUCCUACGGGAGGCAGCAGUGAGGAAUAUUGGUCAAUGGGCGAGAGCCUGAACCAGCCAAGUCGCGUGAGGGAAGAAUGGUCUAUGGCCUGUAAACCUCUUUUGUCAAGGAAGAAUAAGCGGCACGAGUGCCACCUUGCCAGUACUUGACGAAUAAGCAUCGGCUAACUCCGUGCCAGCAGCCGCGGUAAUACGGGGGAUGCGAGCGUUAUCCGGAUUUAUUGGGUUUAAAGGGCGCGUAGGCGGGACGACAAGUCAGCGGUAAAAGACUGCAGCUAAACUGUAGCACGCCGUUGAAACUGUCGACCUGGAGACGAGACGAGGGAGGCGGAACAAGUGAAGUAGCGGUGAAAUGCAUAGAUAUCACUUGGAACCCCGAUAGCGAAGGCAGCUUCCCAGGCUCGAUCUGACGCUGAUGCGCGAGAGCGUGGGUAGCGAACAGGAUUAGAUACCCUGGUAGUCCACGCCGUAAACGAUGCUCACUGGAUCUUGGCGAUACACGGCCAGGGUUCAAGCGAAAGUAUUAAGUGAGCCACCUGGGGAGUACGUCGGCAACGAUGAAACUCAAAGGAAUUGACGGGGGCCCGCACAAGCGGAGGAACAUGUGGUUUAAUUCGAUGAUACGCGAGGAACCUUACCCGGGUUUAAAUGCAGGUUGCAUGAGGUGGAAACACCUCUUUCCCUCGGGACUACCUGCAAGGUGCUGCAUGGUUGUCGUCAGCUCGUGCCGUGAGGUGUCGGGUUAAGUCCCAUAACGAGCGCAACCCCUAUCGCCAGUUGCCAUCGGUUUCGGCCGGGCACUCUGUCGAGACUGCCACCGUAAGGUGCGAGGAAGGCGGGGAUGACGUCAAAUCAGCACGGCCCUUACACCCGGGGCGACACACGUGUUACAAUGGCCGGUACAGAGGGCAGCCACGGGGCGACCCGGAGCGACUCUCUAAAGCCGGUCGUAGUUCGGACUGGAGUCUGCAACCCGACUCCACGAAGUUGGAUUCGCUAGUAAUCGCGCAUCAGC
rnacentral:rRNA from 1 species